rnacentral:lncRNA from 1 species
GUUUGGAGGAAGUUGAUUUAGUAACCAAGGGGUCCAACAAUUGAUGCAGCAGAUUCCUUUUUUCCAUAUAGAAAAUGUAGAAAUCUUUUCUUUGAGAAGAGGAGCUGGUGGGCAUGGAAAAAAGCUACCACAAACCAAGGACUUCAUGAUAACACACAAUAGCUUGGAUUUUUGUUCAAAGUUUCAACAGACGAACCAAACAGCAAUCAUGAUGCCUUCCUCCUUGGCCUUCCCUCUGACUCUCCACCUCCAUCAUUACCCCCUCACCCCCUCCUCCUUUAUCAUCAUCAUCAUCACCAUCAUCAUCAUCCACCAACCCCACCAUCAUCAUCAUCUUCUUCUUCUUCUUCAACUCUCAUCACCAAGAGUACUUCUACUUCCAAAGCAAGAAGCAGCUCAAGAUCAACCACAACCAGAAGCACAAGAAGAAGCAGAAGCACAAGAAGAAGAAAAGGAGGGAGCUGGCAUAGGCUUCAUUACUUCUACUUCUUAUGAGAUCAUGGAAACCCUAAUUAUACUUGUAUGAGUGAGCACUAGAGAAGGGUCUUUUCCUCCAACAAAAGGCUCCAACUCACUCUGGCUCCAGGGGAAUCAAGCAUCUCGGUCCGAUCAUUUGCUACCUCAAAGCUAGCAAAUCCACAUACCUACUUUCUGAAUUUUUUGGCUACUUAGGUUUUUUUUUCUUUUUUUUUUCUUUUUUUUUUUUUCAUUUUGAUUAUCUUUAUCUGCUUUCAAGUAAAGUUCUUUUCUUUUUAAGCAACAUGUGUUCCAUUUCAACUCAUAUCUAAUUAGUGUUUCUGUGCAAACAUAUGAGAGCAUGAUGAUCACGGCACUUGGGCUGAAUAUUUUGUUGUAAGAAUUUGUUUGCAUACUGCUGUCGUAAGUAAUGAUGCAAGAUUAUUAUUUAGGCAAAUUCUAGUGUUGCAUCCUCAUGUCUUGUAAUAAAUGGUUUUUUCUUUCUUUCUGUGUUUUCUUGAAAACAUGCGCAAUCAUGCAUGUUCUGAAAGAGCUGCUUCCAUUGUCUCUCUCAGUCUCUAACUUCAAUGCCUUGCUGCUGUAAGCCCUGCAAAACAGUACAUCUGUAUCCGCCAGCUAGGGUUUGGUUAAUUUGGUUUGGCUCAUUCUUAAUCUGCUAGGUUUGAUUGGAUUAACAUGGAUCUUCA